AGCCACAGCCAUAUCACCAUGCAACCCAAGACCGGUUACUCACUGAAGCUAAGAAGGGCUGAGCCUGGUCAGUACCUAAAUUAGGAGAUCACAUGGGAAAACUAGGUUUCUGUUGGAA
rnacentral:rRNA from 1 species